rnacentral:tmRNA from 1 species
GGGGCUGACCUGGCUUCGACGUGGGUUGCAAAGCAGAUCAGGGCAUACCGAGGACCAGUUACCUCGUAAAUCCACUGGAAAAAAUACAAACGCCAACGACGAGCGUUUCGCUCUGGCCGCCUAAGGCCUAAGCCGCUGCACUGACAGGUCUCCUGGGUCAGAUGGGGUCAAACCCAUUGCAGCGUCAUUUACAGGGACUAGCAAUGGAUCGGGUUACUUGGUCCGGCGCGAAACUCAAGGUAACUCGCCCGUGGUCGGCUUGCCGACUGGCUAAACCCCGGGUUAAACCCAAAUAGGUCGGAUAAGUAUGUAGAACUGACUGUAGAGGACUUGCGGACGGGGGUUCGAUUCCCCCCAGCUCCACCA